UAGAAUCAGAGGAUUCAUUUCAAACCGAGGAAUAAGUUAUAUAACAAAAAGAUUACAAGAUUUUGCUGAUUUAUACUGACUGUGAAAAUAUACCAAAAGUUGAAGAGCAGCUGAAUUCCAACUAAACAGUACCAUAUGCUGCUAAUUUGCUCAUAGCUGAGUUGGCCAUAAACACAGUGAGAGGAGGAACUGCCAUUUUCCCUUUUAGCUGCGGACCUAAACAUAGUGCUGGAAACAGUAGGCAUUUAAUUACCAUUUGCUGAAUGGAGAGUUGAAUAAACCUUUAA
rnacentral:lncRNA from 1 species